AAUACUAUGGCUUAGUUCCAAGGCAGAAGAGCAGAAAGAGCUACACAAUGGGGGCGAAGUGACUUGUUCAGAGUCACCCAGCUAGGAAGUGUCUGAGGCCAAAUUUGAACCCAGGACCUCCCAUCUCUAGGCCUGGUUCUCUAUCUACUGAGCCAUACAACUACCUCUAUUGAGUCCUUUCUAGAUUUUUCUCUUGGAAACUUGAGGGAAUCUCUCUUGCUCUACAUGGUCUUGAACUGCAGUCACUUUCUGGGCCCGAGUAUGAGGCCAGCUGGGUGUAGAAAUGCAGGUGGUUUUUUUCCUUCCUGCUGCUUUUUCUGCUGGAAGUCUUUCUGAUUAAGUUUUUGUAAACCCAAGGACACAAUAAAGGAAGAGAGCUGAGGCAGACUCUAUGUGGGGCUAGCAGGCAUACUGCAGAGACUAAACCACAGCCAGGGUGUCACCUCCUUAUUCAACUUCCUUUUCUUCACAUUUCUUAUCACCUCCUGGGCACCACCCAAGGCACAGAGGUUGAUAAAAACAGGCCUUCAACAGGACCAAACCCUAAACUCGAUCUGACCUCCCAGGGAGUGUGAGGGGGUAUGUGUGGGUACUUUGACACAGGCAAGUUUUGAAACCUCUACCAUACCCACCUUCCAAUGUCUCAUCACAACAAGAAGGCUACACCUGGCCUCAGGCUCUGGUUCUGGUAGAUGAAAAGCUUUGCGUAGAGGCCCAGAGAGCCCCGUGGGCUCUGUUUCUGCCAUCCAAGGUUAAAAUUAUAGACUCACAGAACUGGAGAGUCUGAAGGGACCUCAAUAGCAAUCUCAUGAAAACUGCAUAGAAAAGGAAUGUUGAUGGACAGUUAGAGGAUGUAGUAGAUAAAGAGCCAGACCUAGAGACAGGCAGUCUAGAGUUCAAGUCUGACCUCAGAUACUUCCUAGCUGAGUGACCUUGGGCAAGUCACUUAACCCCCACUGCCUAGGAGCCAAACCUGAGUACUGAUUUUAAGACAGAAGGUAAAGGUUUAAAAAAAAAAAAGAAGCGAAAAAGAAUGUCUACCAUGCCAUCUUCCACAGCAGUUGCAAACUGGCUAAGAUUUUUGGGAUGCUCAAUGCUUGUUCUUGAAGGAAUACAAACAAUCCUGGAAGUAAUCUCUCCAUAGUCCUUUGCUUUCUGCAGAAUUCUGGCAGUAGAAGCAACUGCUAUUUGGCCCCAUUUGUUCCCAGACACACUCCCUACAACCUCUUCCUCAAAUAGUACACAAUCAUUCCCAUCGUAUGACUGAGCACAACAACCUAGAUCUACUGCUUGCUGUCUCCCAUUCCUCAACUGCAAAUUUAUUCCUCCUCUUAAUGGGCUGAAAAAAGCACAUGUCUGGUCUCUAACCUUGCUUGAAAAUUCCCAGAGGAAAAAAUUGCCACUUCCCAAGGCAGCCCAAUUCCUCUUUUUGGAUGGCUUUCAUUGUUGGAAAGCUAAGAUCAGUCUGUUGGUUUUCAGUCCGAUAAGCAUUUUCACUGACAUUUACUGUGUUUGUGAUCCUGGAUAAUUCACUUUGCCCUUUGGCCUGUUUCCUCAACUGUAUAACGAGGAAAAAGAACAACACCUAUGUAUCAGAAUUGUUUUCAGUUGUCAUGAGAUAAAAUUUUAAAGUACUUAGCAGAGUGCCUGGCACAAAGAAGGUGCUCUAUAAAUGAUUCCCUUCCUUUUCCUUUCUCUGAGUGCCCACUUUUAUGGACCAUUUCAGAGAGAGGCACUGGGGAUGCGAAGAAAAAGAAAAUAAUUUGUGCCCUCAAUGUGCUUACAUUCUCCAGGAGGGAAAACAACUUGGGACAGCUAGCUGGCUCAAUGGAUAAGAGAGCCAGGCCUGGAGGCAGAAGGUCCUGGGUUCAAAUGAGACUCAGACAUUUCCUGCCUGUGUGAACCUGGGCAAGUCACUUAAUGCCAAUUGCCUAGCCCUUACCACUCUUCUAUCUUAGAAUGGAUACUAAGACAAGGUAAAGUUUUCAAAAAAAUUAAAAAAUAAAGAUUUAUUUUUCCACCACUAAAAAUGAGGCCAACUCACUCAGCAUGUGGAUAACUAACAGGCUUUUCACAAUUUUUGAAAACAUUGGCAAAUGCAAGGAUGUACUGUAGUUAGGCGGGCUACCUUCUGACAAAUAUUUUUCUCCUGUGAGAACCCCAGGUGAUAAACUUGGCAGGAUGCAAUGUGGUGAAAUCAACUUUGGGCACAACUUUCAGAACUACAUUUCCCCCGAGUUCUCUGCUGGUAAUUUCUCUACCAAGCAUAUCACAUAUACAUGUCUGUGCCUUACUUAGGGCCCUUCUAAGAUUGUCUUAGCUAGACAAGGACUUUGGAGCUCCUCCUGUGCUCAGCAGAAUGUUCUGCACACAGCAGGUGCCUAAUGUCUGUUGUCCUUUGCUGGAAGAGGACUAAAAUGACAGUCUUUUGAUCCAUGCAUGAAUUAAUUGGAUUUCAGGAAGGUAGAGGUAUACAAAGUGUCUUCCAGAGUCAUCAAAGUCUGGUGGUGAGACUAGUAAAUGAAAACGGUUCUGGGAUUACAUCAGGGUCAGCUUUCUAAAAUAUUUGUAAAAUUAACUGAGAAGAAGCACUUUUCAGUGGAGGAUAGUAACAUUUCAAAGAGCAGGCGAACAUUAAGAGAUCAAAACAAAUGUUUGCUAAAUGAAUGAAUCAAAACACUUAAAAUCUCAAUGAAGCUCAGAGCUGAAGGGCUUUAGUUUUCAACUAAACUUAAAGUUGAAGAAGAAAGGUGAUGGUGCCAAGGCCACCAUCAGGUGAGUGAUUGGGCCAGGCCUACAAACACAAAUCUGACAAUAAGUGUUCUCUAUUUAAAACAUGACGCCAACACUAACAAUGUCAGGAACAAAGGUCUUCAAACAUGGCAUUAUUUUAUGGAGACAGUUUAAGUCCAAUCUAGUUCUGCUUUGCUUCUGAUCCAUUCACUACUCCACUCCUAAGAGGAAUGAAGACCUCUCAAGGACCCCAAGCAAGACAUCUUAGUAAUCACUUAACCUACUUGGAGGACAUGAAGCUACUUAGCUCCACCAAGACCCAUCCAACAGCUCUGUCAUCUUUUCCCAACAUUAUCAAAAUGUCAUUUUAGACCUACUAAAUGAACAAUUCUUGAUAUAGGUCAAGAAUUUUUAUAUUGCUCUGACUAUAAGGCUAUUUAGCUCAUAUCUCUACAUCUUUCCCCCAAGAAUAAUACAAGAUAAUAAUACAGGAAAAACUCACAUCAAAUUGCUUACUAUCUCUUGGGGAAGGAGAGUCAAUUUGGAUCUUAUAAUUCCAGAAAACCUAUGCUGAAAAUUGUGAUUACAUGUAAUUGGGAAAAUAAAAUAUUAACAAGAACAUCAUGAGAGAUUUGCUAACAUGUCGGUAAACUCUACUCUUACCAUUCUUCCAAUCUUCUAGACUAGUAACCCUGCCAGACAAGGAUAUUGGCUGAGUUUGGCCCUUGGUGGUCACUCCUACCUUUUCUAGCUGUUCUCCAAUUCCUUUAAUGAUUUAUUGUAGAAUUGGGCCAAGAAUAGAAGCCAAACUAAUGGGCUUCUUACUUUCUGUCCUUGAUGAUGAUGAUGACGACUCUUCCACUGUUCAUAUUCUUGGCACCAACAGUGGCUUCAACACUCACACCAACACAUUUAGGCCCAGUAACCUCAACUCAUCGAGGCUCUUUGACCGCCUGGGUGAGUUUCCAAAUUGAUCUCUCCUUAAACAACUUCCCCAUUACAUCUCUUUAGAUCUGCUUUUCUUUGUACCUUCAGAAUUUCAGGCUUGGGAGUUUGCCAUCCUUCCUAGGAGAACUUCCUUUAUAGAACUUAGUUCAUGGGAUGAAUAAAUGAAAAAGUCUUUAUAAGCACUUCUGUGUCCAAUGUACUUUAGAUGCAAAUGAAAAAUCAAUUCAGCCUCUGCUCUCAAGGUCCACAUUCCAAUAAAGGGAGACAUGUACAAGGGUUCAGUUACAGGACAGGCAGAAAGACCUCGGGGGCUCAGUGGAUAGAGUCAGGCCUAGAGAUGGAAGGUCCUGGGUUCAAAUAUGGCCUCAGACACUUUUAACUGUGGACCCUGAGCAAGUUAUUUAACCCCCAUUGCCCAAUCCUCAUUGCUCUUCUGCCUUAGAACCAAUAUUUAGUAUCCAAUCUAAGAUAGAAGGUAAAGGUUAAAAAAAAGGUAUGCUUUGCUGAUGAUAAUUUACUGGAUCUCUGAUCUCAUCCCUAUACUUCCCUCCAACUGUGCAAACAGUAACCUAUCCAUUCCCUUUAAUUCCUUGCAAUGCCUUUCCCUGUUCUCUUGUAAAACUGCAUAGUAGUCACCCACUCACCAUCCUCUAAAAUUUCAUCAGCCUGGGUGCCCUCCCAAAGCCUCUACUGAAGGUGGGGCCCAGGCCAGCCAACUCUUCACUUCCCAUCUUGGCCUUCUCCACCAUGCCCCUCCAAUGAGGGUUUUCUUCCUCUAUUAAGACUAUAUGCUCCUUGAGGGCAGUGCCUGGCACAUUAAAGGUGCUUAGUGUUAAUGUCUGACCAUGACGCAAGGUCUUCCUCUACAGUCAUACUAUACUGACCUGACCUCCCUUGUGAUACCUUUUAUACAACUUUUUACGAAUAAUUCUUUAUUGGUCACCUGCUACGCAGCCUGUUUAUACUCACCAUGCAAUCUUUCACUACCCUUUGGGUGAACUACAACUUUAUUCCCUGGAGAUGGCAGUGAUCAUGAGUCACAGUCACACAGCAUCACCAGGAAUCGGCUGUUGAUAGAAAGAUCUCCCUUUGCUUCAGAGAGAUAUUGGGGCCACUGGAAACAGGGGGACGCAGUGAUCCCCACCUGCUCUCAAAGUCCUUUUCCAUCAGGGACCCUGUUCUCUGUGUGUGUGUGUGUGUGUCCAAGAUACUACUGCGUCCACUUUAUGGGUUGCUCAUCUACUUGAAUGUCAACAAUAGAGCAAUGUCACUACAAACAAAAGCCCCGGAGACUUUUCAUCCAGGGCAUUCUGCUUCCCUCUGACCUCUGUGCUGGACUCCACGGGGGGCAAACAUGUACCUCCCACUUGGAGGCCUCACACAGGGUGGAACAAAGUCAUCGCUGCUGAUAAAGCUUUCAAGGAAUCUUGUGUGGAUGGGAUAUUCCAGGUUGGAGGGGAUCCUUUAAGUCAACAUUUUGCUCUUUCCAGAUGCUUUUUUUUUCAUAGUCCAUAACCAGAGCAUUCUUUGCCUUUUUAAUCUUUGUGAUGGCAAAGUUCUGAUCUCUUCUAGACUAUUCUUUGCAAAUGCCUACUUGUUCCCUUCUCAUGGCUACAUCAAGAAAGCCCUUUAUAUGUGUUCAGUCUGGAUUAAGCUUGGGCCAAUUUCUAUAGACAGAAGCGUGCAAAUGGAUGGUCAAGAACAGACUGACCAUCUUUUCAGCUAUUCUUUUUCAGGUAAUGAUAAGAUCUGAUUCACCUCAAGAAUUGGGAUCUUCCCAUCUUACAGACACAGAGAAGGAUCCUUCAGUGCCCACAAAACUUUGCCUCUCUGUGGAUGGACCUUCUUUGUGUAUAGUGGAGCAGCUUCCUGUCUAUUUCUUAGCUCCAUGUCUACUUGUUCAGAGAAUAUAACAAGGACUGUGCAAUGCAAUUCAAAAUCUAAACUGGAAAUGGGGGAAGCUAGAUGUAUGACCCUGGGCAAGUCACUUAACCUUGUUUCCCUGAGCACCUCCCUCCCAAGGUUGUUGUGAGGACCAAAUGAGAUAAUAAUUGCAAAACGCUUAGCACAAUGCCUGGCACAUUGUAAGUGGCACAGAAAUAUUAGAGGUUCUUAUUAUUACUGUUAAGCACUGUGGCUCCAUAGUCAAAGAUGGAAGAAAUAGUUUCACAAACUAUUUGUGAGAGUCCUUUCUAUUUUUCCUAUUUCCUCUUCUCUAAGUUUCAGCCUUUAGGCUUUUCAGGUUGGGUUCCUUUGUUUCUAUCUCUGUCUCACCUAGGCUUCUCCGCCUCUGGCUUCUGGAUUUCUUUACAUAUGUUUUUUGUUGGUUUUUUUAGUCAUACCUUCUGUCUCAGUAUUAAUUCUAAGACAGAAGAGUGAUAAGAGCUAGGCAAAUGGGGUUAAGUGACUUGCCCAGGGUCACACAGUUAGGAAGUGUCUGAGGCCAGGUUUGAACUGGAGCCUCCUGGCUCCAGUUCUGGUGCUCUAUCCACUGUAUUCUCUAGCUACCCCUUACAUAUAUUCUUACUAUAGAAUGAUUUUUCACUCCAACCAUCUUUUAUUUGUGUUAUUACUUCUGAAUAAGGUGCAUCCUCCCAAACUUACUCAAUGGGUCUUUCAUCACCAAAGUUCAGUGAUCGAACUUGACCCCUUGCCUUUGGAUCUCUACUUUUCUUUGCUUGUUACCCAUGAGGAAAUGCCCUAAAGAGUCAUCACUUUUUUUUUUAACCCUUACCUUUUGUCUUAAAUAGAUACUAAAUUUUGGUUCCAAGGCAGAAGAACAGUAAGGGCUAAGCUAAUGGGGUUAAGUGACUUGCCCAGCCAAGAAGUGUCUGAGGCCAUAUUUGAACACAGACCUUCUGUCUCCAGGCCUGGUUCUCCAUCCACUGAGUCACCUAGUUGUCCCUGGAGUCAUCAUUUUUUACUUGUACAAUUCUAAUAGCUAUCCUCUCAUCUCCUAGACUCCUUCCUUUCCUCUCCAAUCUAUCAUUCACAGUUACCAAAAUAUGCUUUCUAAUGCACAGGUGUGACCAUACCAAUCCUUUCUUCAAAACUGCCACUCAAUUUCUUUAUGAAAAAUGUAAUUCAGUGGGAUACAGAGCCAACAAAGCAGUCCUUGCCCUCUUGUGGCUGAUAGUUAAUCAAAGAAAACAUCUACAAAGAGAAGUAGAUACAGAAAUACAAGGUAACUUUGGGUACUAAGAAGGGAUACCGGGCACCAGAUCAGAAAAAGUCCUUCAGCUGAGCCCUGAAUUAAACCAGGAAUGACUUUGAGGUGGCAAACCUGAGAGACUGCCAUGGCCUCAGAUACUUCCUGGCUGUGUGACCCUGGGUGAGUCACUUAAUCUCCCAAAAUCUAGCCCUUGCUGCCUCAUCUGUUAGAGUUACUAAGACAGAAAGCAAGGGUUAAAAAAAAAUGGUGGUGCCCUUGACAUAAAUGAGUUAAUUAAGAAUGUGGAAACAUUUAAUCCUGCUACUCUUCCAGAGAAACUCCCAUUUUUAGAAGAUGGUUUGAACUGACCAAUUGAAGGCCUAAGCUGAAGACCAAAGUCUGGUUUUUACCUGCUUCUGAUAAUUGCUUUAGUCAGGAUUCUUUGUUUCUGAAUUUAGCUCAGAGAUCAGCUGGUCCAUAAAGGUUAAGUUUAGAAAUCCAGCUCUUCUGCUAAUUACAGAUCUUGUCCUGAACAAGGCAUGUUUGCUGGCAUUGGGGUUCUGUAUGAGAAAGAAAGGGAAGGCCUGGCAUCUUUGGCCACCAAACUAGUUUUCUUGGACAUGUUUUGCCAUCCAAAGGUCUGGGUGCUCCAACAACUGAGUUCUUCAACCCAUGGGAAGAGAAGGAAUACAUUGAAUUCAUGUGCCUCAACUCUGUAAGCAAGCAUUCUGCACUUAAUCCCAUUUACCCUGCUCCAUACAUUGUGGGCUUCCUCCUCUCCUGUGUGACUUUUGCUUUAAAAGCCCCCAUGCUACAAAUUUCUAGACCCUAUUUAUUGAGUCAUGAGUUGAUGAGAAGAGAGCUGGGUCCAGUGAAAAGACAAACUGUUCUGGAUAUACUGAGUUUGAGAUGGGCAUAGUUAUCCGAAUUGAUUUCUCUAGCAGGUACUUGGUGAUGGGGAACAGGAGAGAGGAGGGCUAAUAAAAAACACAGGCCCUCCCUCCACAUUCAGCUGGGACUUUUCCAGCUCUGUUUGACAUCUUUGUGUUCCAGUCAAACCAGAUGAGUAGCUAGUGAUUCUGGAUCUCUUACCCUCACCCAUUUUGAUGAAUUUGCAUAGUCAGAUGGGCCCAAUCCUGGGAAUGUACUUUCUAGAGGUCUGGCCUAGAGACCAUUUACUUAAAGAAGCCUUCUCCAAUUGCAACUCCCCUUUCCUCUUCUCAUCUGACAUUGUGCUCUACCUCCAGGGAUCCCAAAGAACUGUACCCUAGGAAAUGUCUAUAGUUUACUAUGCUAAAUAUGCUGUAUGUCCAUCCUAGCCUCCUUAUGGCCCCAGGGGAAUACAGGUCAAGGACUCUGCCACUUUUCUAACCUUUGCGUUUCCACUGCCUAGCACAGUGCCUUCCACUUAAAAAGAACUUAAUAAACAUCAGAGAUUCCAGCCAAGAGUUGAAUCCCACUUACCUUGGCUAAGUCAUGGCCUCUCCUGGAACCUUAAUUUCCUCACUGUAAAAGGAGGGGGCUGGCCGGAUUGCUCUCAAGGUCCCUUGUCUCAUUCUAUUUCAUCACCAUCACCGGUCUUAAGUCUUAACUCUCUCAGUUGAUGGAUGAGUCAGCAGGCAUUGUGGCUACUUAACUAGAGACCAGCUGGGAGCAAAGUGCUCCGGAAACCUGGCUGUUUCCUUUCAUCACAUGUGUCUAGUGCUUUGCACAGCCUGGCAGAAGGAAGGCAGGAACCCUGCAGCCAAGGCCCGCUCCCAGGAAGAUGGAACUGCUUCCAUGCUGUGCUCAGCCUCAGGGGCCGUACCUAAUGGGCUGCUUACAAAUGAGAGUUUCUGUAUUGUCUCCUCUGAUGCUCAGGAAAAUAUCCUGAAACAGGCCACGAGGGGACUUUUAUCCCCAUUUUAUGGAUGAGCAAAAGGAAGUCUGGAGGGGCUAAGAGUUGUCCGAGAUCAAGACAGGGCCCCUUCCCCACUGCUCAAUGCCCAGCUCCACAUUGGGUCUGCAAUGAACCCCACAGAAGCAGGCCUCCCAGUGCAGUCAGUCUCACACUUGUCACCACAGCGCUGCCAGGAUCAGACCAGGCAUGGGAACAGGACGGCGGGAAGUCAUCAACAUUAGCUGGAGUUGUGGCGAGGAGAUAGUGCCAGAACCUCACUGGGUACACCACUCAGUCCCGGCGACUGCGCAAGCGCCCUGGACGCGCCAACAGCAUCCCAGGGCGCAUGCGCAGGCAGAAGUAAACGAGAUCGGGGCAAAAGACGCUGACAGCAGCGGGUUACUCUGGUUAGUAGAGCGCAUGCGCAAACCGAGUUAGAUGUGUUUGCAACCAGACAAGCUCAUCCUGGCGUGUCCCCUUGACCUGAGGCGCAUGCGCAUCCAGUGUUAAAGCUCAGCGGAGGGGACCACCGCCUCUCCUUAGAGCGCGCCUGCGCAGUGGCAAGUUAUGGGGGCGUGUCGGUCCAGUGUAAUAAGAGCGAGGCCCCCCUCCCCUGGGGCUCCUAUAGCGCAUGCCCAGUAACAGGUAGAAGGCGCGUCCUCCCCGAGUCGGAGCCCCCCUCCCUUCCUUGCCCCAGCGCCUGCGCAGUCGAACCAGGUCUCGGAGAGGAGGUCCCGGCCCACUCCCUCCCCGCCCCCCAGCCCAAGGCCAGGCCCUCACCCUCCGCGAAUGCAGGCAGCCCCGGAGCGCCGCGGGCCACGGCUGCCGAGGUACCUCAGCGCGCGCUCAUUCGCUCGCUCCCUCCGCCACCGCCGCCCGUCACGUCAGUCAGACUCCGGCUGCGGCGGCUCCGGAGCCUCCUCCGCGGGAUCCUGUCACCUGACUCAGGGGAUGAGAUCUACGUAAAGGCACUUCCGGCCCUCUACCGGAAGGGAACGGCGGGCACCGUGGGCGGAGACACCUCCGGCCUGAAGACCAAGGUUCCGCCAGCUGGGACGCAUGUGAGUUGCGGAAGAGGGAAGGACCAGGCCCAGAAUGUCGGGGGAGGUACGUCAACGGCAGAGCUAAGGGCGGAGUCUAAACUGUACCCUCAGAGCUGGGCGGGCUCUCAGAACUGGGAGUGUCCGGGCUGAGAGGGGCCCUAGAAGAACCGUGAGUAGCAGGGCCAGAGAGACGCUUUGAACGUGGAAUGUUUGGAAGGGUCCUUAGAACCGGGAAUGUUAGCUGAAAGGGAAGAGCUAAUGUGCCUAAAGUUAGAUUUGAAUUUGGGUUUUCCUGACUCCAGCUCUAUCCACUGUGGCCCACCCUAGCUAUCUCUAGGCUAGUGUUGCUUGCUGGGUUGUUGGGACAUACAGCCUCAAUUUAGGAACUGAAGCUGGGUAGAUGAGUAAAUCAAAUAAAAACGAGAGCUAGUAUAAGAAAAGAAACAUUGGAAACUAAUUCUAUAAUGACUGCAAACAGAGACUUAGAGGGAAAAUGGAUUUUCCACAAGGUCUCUAUGAAUACCUACGAGACACGAAACAAGAAGUUUUAAAAUGAAAUAAAAGCUCUAGUAUAGAUGAAAGAUUCGACCUUCCUUAUUAUUGACAAGGGCACCACCCAGUUCUUAGCACCGCCCCCUCACAAUCUGGGAGUGGUUCUGGAUUCCUCCCUAUCUCUCAACUCUUCCCUACUUAUGGAAGCUAUUUGCCAAGGCCUGUCCAUUUCACCUGUGCAAAUCCUCUUGUAGAUUUCACUUCUACGACAGCUCUCCGAUCUGCUCCCUUCUCUGACACUGCUGGUAUAGACCCUGAUCUCCUCACACUUGAAGUAUUGUAGUGGCACCCCUCACACCCAACUCAGUCCAUUCUCCUUUCAGCCACUAAAGUGAUUUUCCUAAAACUCAGGUCCAAUCAUAUAACUCCUCUGCUCAAUAGAAUCCAGGAGUUCCCUAUUGCUCCUAGGUUCAAACACAAAAUGUUCUGUUUGGCAUUCAGACCUUUUCAUAACCUUGCUCCCUAACGGUCAGCCUUUUGGCAUCAUUUCUCAGCUUCCGGCAUUCCCUUUGGUCCUACCCCUGGAAUCCUCUUCCCUCCUCAACUCUGAUUACUGACCUCCAUGGCUAAGUCCCAACUAAGAUCUUCAAAAGAAGCCUUCUAAGUUCCAAGGCAGAACAACAAUAAGGACUAGGCAAUUGGGGUUAAGUGACUUGCCCAGGGUCCCCCAGCUAGGAAGAGUCCAAAGCCAAAUUUGAGCCUCCUGGCCACUGAGCCACCUAGCUGCCUCCCCUUCAUCCUUAAAACAUCUUCACUAGACCCAUAAGAUAUCCUUUUCUCAGAUAAAUUCCUUGAAAAUUCUUUCCACAUGUGCUGCCUCCCCUUUCCUCCUCUACCCUUUCCAAUCAGGUUUCCAAUCUAAUCUCUCAACUGAAACUGCUGUCUUCAAAGUUCAUGGUUUUUAAGAUGCCAGAUCUGAUGAUCUUUUCUGAGCCCUAAAACUUCUUGACCUAUUUGCUGCAUUUGUCAUUGUUGAUUACCCUUUCCUGGAUAUUCUGUCUUCCUUUGUGACACUCCUCUCUCCUGGCUGUCCUACCAGUUUGAUGCCACCCUCCCCUUCUCAGACUUCUCUUUUGGCUUAUUAUUCUCAUCAUGUGUCCUAAUUAUGGUCCUUUCCUGGGCUGCCUUCUCUAUGUUCUUUCUCCUCACAAUCUCAUCAGCUCCCUUGGGUUUAACUAUAUAUGUAGGUGUCUCACAGCUCUCUAUUCAAUACCUUGAUUUUCUGUCCUCCAUCACUAGUUGUCUAUUGGACAUUUCAUAUUGAACAUCCCUCCAUUGGACAUUUCAUAUUGAACAUCCCAAAGACAUCUUCAACUCGCCAUGGCCAAAUGAAUUAUCUUUCCCUUUAAACUCUUCCUUAUUUCUGUUGAAUGUGUCACCAGCUUUCCAAUCUCCUAGGUUCAUUCUCCUUUGUGAAUGUGAAAUCCCCUAUCUAUCCCUUGUUCUGCUAUGUUCUGUGCUUUGUAAGCGCUACAAAAUUACCACUGAGGUUAUCAUGGAAGUCCUUCACAGCCUGCAGAAUACACAUGCUAAAAUUGCAUACCCUGUAUGUAUUUUGGACUUCACUUCUGUCAAAUGGAAUUAUAUUUUUUAUUUCACUUCUGACUCCUCCACCCUAUGUGUAUGCAAAUUGCCUUUAUAAGGGUUUUGAUCUAUUUCCUGGCUCCAAAGUGCUUUUAUAAGGAAUCUGAUCUCAAGGCUCUAGGUCUUUGAGUACUGAACCUGAGACCGGUUUUAUUGUGAGAUUGAAUCCCUCCCUCAAUAAACCUAUUUGGAGACUUAGUUUUUAUUUUUUGUGUCUUGGCUAAGAAAUUUUUGCCACAACCCUGACAUGAUUGGGCAGAAAUCCUGACCUUCAUGGUUUUCUUCUCCAAGAAUGGAUUCUCUUUUUGGGUUCCCACAUCAGGGGCUAUGUGCCUUCAAUCCCUUUUUCAGGGGGAGAUCAACAAAUGAAGAUUCUUCACCCAGUUGGAUCCACUUCAAGCCGGUGAGUACUUUUUAAAACUGCACAGAUUGAAAUCUACUCAGAUCUUUCUUUUAUUUUAAACCUUCUGACCAUAAUUAGCAAAAUAGUCAUAAAUUUCGAAUAUGCCAUAGUUCCUAAGUUUCACUUGAAAGAACUUACUGCUUUUUAAAACUGCCUACUAGAAAUGUGAAAUUUAUUCUUGAAAUUAUGCAAUCAAUAGUACAGGCACAUAAAUUUUUACUUGUUUGGGUUAAUUAUACUAGGGAGAAAGUCUAUGAGUCUGUUAAAUAUCUGUAACUGUUGACUGGUUAGUAUAGUUCUAACUACCAUAACAAAAGGUUAGGUUAGGCUUUGUGCCUAACCAGAUAAUUUGGCUUUCCCCUAAAUGAGAAAACAGGGUUUGGACAGUUUCCUAGUCUGUGCAAGAAUGGUUCUCCCUUCUCUAGGUAAUAGAUGCUUCUAAAUGGGGACUAGGCUAAGUAGGAGAGAAAUUCCUAAAGACUCUCCAUUGGAAAAAUGUUUAAUUGUGUGGGACAAAGAAGAAUUACCAGUAGGUAAGAGGAUGGAUAGGAAUAAUGCUAUUUAAAUAUUGCUUUAAUUUGUGUGAGACCCUUAGGAACUUUUGGCCUAAAUUUGGAAACUUUGAUCUUUAUACUCUAGACAAAUUAGAAACCCUUAUAGAAAAAAAAACAGGGAAAAUGGGAAUGGUUAAAAUACUUGGUUUGUUGGAAAAAAUUAUCUACUAUGAUUUUUGAAGAAAGCAAAUAGGGAAAGAAUGAGCUUUAUCUAGUGUUGUCUGUCCCUUGGACUCCUCCUUCCUAUUGUAAACCUGAAGAAGAACAGGAUUAAGGGAAGAGUGAGGAGGAAAUCUGUCCCAGUUUCUAUUUUCCCUGUAAUAAAUAAAUCUCAGCCAAAUGCUCAAGAAAAUCUAAUUUGCAUCAAAGAACAUCAUCCUUUUAGACUUCCUGAUUUCUGAGAUUUUCAGCUAUCUAGAGACAACCCCCCCAACCGCUUAUGAUAUAAGACCCCAUACCUGUUUUAGGCUUAUUUAAGUCUCUUUUUAGAGGGCAUAACUCUACUUAGACUGAUAUAUAAGACAUAAUGGAGGUUUGCUGUCAGAUGGAGAGAGACUAGGAAUGGAAAUUACCAAUCGUAUUGUGGCAGGUCCAGGAGGAGGAGGAACAUGACCCCUAUAGGACUCCAGUUAGGAUCCUAAUAUUAUAGGAGAUAUACUAUCACCAGGCUGUCUGGCAAUUCAUUAUGGUGAACAGAAAAUUGCAGACACAAUAAGGCAGGAAUGGGUGGCUUCUGGAAUUAUUUCAGUGGCUUCUAGUAGAACAUCAGGGUGCUUCAAAUAUAUGGCUUUUAAUCAACAUGCUUUUAUAAAAGUUGCAUAUGGCGGUCUUCCUUUGGCAUAUCUUCCAUCUGAGUCUUCAUAAAUUGAUAUCAUAAAUUUGCCAAAAGUUGGACAUUUGAAAUAUUGUUUGGUUAUUAAUGACAAAUUAACAAGGCGGGUGGAAGCUUUCCCUACUUCCAGAACUAUGCAGCCUUUGUGACUAAAAUACUUACUAAGGAGAUUGUAUCUAGGUAUGCUCCCCCUCCCCCCAGCUCCAAUUGAUUCAGACAAAGGUUCUCAUUUUCCUCAUACAGUUCUUUCUAGAGUUUAUGCUAAUUAAGGAAUAAUACCUAGAAUUCAUACCUCUUAUUAUCCUCAAUCACAUGGACAAGGAGUGUCAUACACAAAGAGUGUGUGAAUAAAGAAAUUAAGCUCUUAAUUGGGACUAUGUUAGGAUAUACAAUUGAAACAACCUCAUAUGUUAGCCUUGGCUCUAUUUCUCUUGAGGAGUAGACCUAAAGGAGAUUGUCAUAUCUCUCCUUGUGAUUCUGUUUGGCCAUCCACCCUUGAAAGCAAGACCAUUUGUACCAGUCUAUACUUCUGUGUGUUAGGGGGGCAAUUUGUCAAUUGCUAAAUAUAACAGAGAACUACAGAAUAGGUUAAAGGAAUUACAUGCUGUUGAGAUUAUAGUUCAAUCUGGUCCUAUUGAUUUUUCAUUAUAUGAUUUUCAUCCUGGUGAUGAUGUAUAUGUAAAAAAUUUUUAGCAUUCCAGAGUAAUCCAGCCUGUUUGGGAGGGGCCUUUUCAGAUUCUUCUUACUACUCCUACACCAGUCAAGGUUGAAUAGGAGGAUUCUUGGAUUCAUUGCUCUCACCUCAAACCUGUACCUUUCACUUGUUGUAUGGCCUCUAAUGAUGCCUUUCAGACUCUUCUGACCUAGAAUCAAGGUACUCUGAACAGUUUCCUAAAUAUCUCUGGGCAAUUUUGUGGCAAGUAUAUUUGAUCUUAUUACUACUCUUGGGACUACUCAUAUUUUGGUUUAAGUUUAUGACUCAACUAUACAGAAGAGUAGGCCUUAACAGAUUGCCUUUUUAAUCAUAGCAUGUGUGGAUUACCUCUUUUAGCAGGAUGUAGAGCUGGUUCUCCUGUAAAUAUUGGAUGUGAUUUGACCUUGACUGAGAUUUAUACAUGAGACACAUCUUUUUGUUCAUUCCUUUUAACUUGUGUCAUCACUAAAAUUAGUCCUUGAGUUAGUCCAAUCUGUUGAAAAAUUUUCUUGUAAUUCUUAAGACUAUACCACAUUUCUUAUUCUUUAAACCUUUUUUUUUUUAAAUCCUUACCUCUCAUCUUAGCAUCAAUGCUGUGUCUGAGGUCACAUUUGAACACAGCACUUCCCAUCUCUGGGCCUGGCUUUCAAUCCACUGAGUCACUCAGCUGCCCCCUCAUUCUUUAAAUUUUAAUGACUGUAUAGUUCAUCUUAGUGUCAUGAUGUACCCCUUGAAAGACACAGACCUUGGCCUUUUUUCAUUUCAAAAUGUCUUCACUCCUGAGGUCAUACAGAUGAGCAGGACAUAUGACACCAGUAGUUCUAUUAUAGAAUGUAUAAUAGGGAGGGAGACUAUCAGUAUCAUCCACCUUUGUCUCUUGGCACAUUCUUGUUGCCAUUACUUAAUACAGUGUUGGUAGUAUGGAUCACUAUAUUAAUUGUAUUAUAAUGAGAUCACUAAUAAUUCCCAUUAUAGAUGAGUAUUCAACAUUGCUAGUUCUAAAGGAUGUAUCCACAAUUUAUUUGGAUUGAGUUGUUCUUUUAAAGUAAGGGUCUAUUUCACUUAUUUCCUGGAGGGUAUAGAGUUAGUUUUGUCAUUAUAUAAGAUACUAGAUGAAGAUUCUAAUGAGGUGGUAGAUUCUGGAUCAACAGAAACAGAAACUGGUGCUGGCAUCAUGUCUUUAGAUGUUGGACCUGACCUGUUGAAUAUCCUGAACAAUUUAUAUGUUUACAUGACUGAUUAAUUAUAGCAUAGGCUCCUCCUUGGACAGCUGUUAUAAGGGGUCUUUUCAAAAAUACUAGAGCAUCCUGCAAAGUGAUUAGGAAAGACUUAUAUGAAAUGAUGCAAAGUGAAGUGAGCAGAACCAGGAGAACAGUGUAUACAGUAACAGAAAUAUUGUUCAAUGAUCAACUGUGAAGGACUAAACUAUUAUUAGUAAAACAAGGUUCUAAGAUAACCUCAAGGGACUAUCUAUCCACAGUCAAAGAAGGAACUAUUAGAGUCUGAUUACAGAUCAAAGCUUGCCAUCUUCUAUUUUAUUUCCUUCAUGAUUUUUUUAUUGUAUGUGUGAUAUGUAUUUUCUGUCACAGCAUGAGCAAUAUGGAAAUUAUUUUGUAUUGCAUGAAAGCACUGGCAUAACCUUUAUCAGAUUAUUUCCUGCCUGGGGAAGGCAAGGGCAAAGGAGGGAAAAGAAGAGAAUUUGAAUGGCAAAAUGUCAGAAAACAAUUGUCAAAGGACUGUUUCUACAUGUAAUAAAAAAAAUUUUUUUUAAGUAAAAAAAAA